rnacentral:rRNA from 1 species
AUACGUAGGUGGCGAGCGUUGUCCGGAAUUACUGGGCGUAAAGGAUGCGUAGGUGGAAGCAUAAGUCAGAUGUGAAAUACCCGGGCUUAACUUGGGUGCUGCAUUUGAAACUGUGUUUCUAGAGUGCAGGAGAGGAAAGCGGAAUUCCUAGUGUAGCGGUGAAAUGCGUAGAGAUUAGGAAGAACACCAGUGGCGAAGGCGGCUUUCUGGACUGUAACUGACACUGAGGCAUGAAAGCGUGGGGAGCAAACAGGAUUAGAUACCCUGGUAGUCCACGCUGUAAACGAUGGGUACUAGGUGUGGGAGGUAUCGACUCCUUCCGUGCCGCAGUAAACACAAUAAGUACCCCGCCUGGGGAGUACGAUCGCAAGAUUAA